UAAACGAUGUCGACUUGGAGGUUGUGGCUUCCGGAGCUAACGCGUUAAGUCGACCGCUGGGGAGUACGGCCGCAAGGUUAAAACUCAAAUGAAUUGACGGGGGCCCGCACAAGCGGUGGAGCAUGUGGUUUAAUUCGAUGCAACGCGAAGAACCUUACCUGGUCUUGACAUCCAGGUGCUGCAUGGCUGUCGUCAGCUCGUGUUGUGAAAUGUUGGGUUAAGUCCCGCAACGAGCGCAACCCUUAUCCUUUGUUGCAACUCAAAGGAGACUGCCAGUGAUAAACUGGAGGAAGGUGGGGAUGACGUCAAGUCAUCAUGGCCCUUACGACCAGGGCUACACACGUGCUACAAUGGCGCAUACAAAGAGAAGCGACCUCGCGAGAGCAAGCGGACCUCAUAAAGUGCGUCGUAGUCCGGAUUGGAGUCUGCAACUCGACUCCAUGAAGUCGGAAUCGCUAGUAAUCGUGGAUCAGAUGCCACGGUGAAUACGUUCCCGGGCCUUGUACACACCGCCCGUCACACCAUGGGAGUGGGUUGCAAAAGAAGUAGGUUACCACUUUGUGAUUCAUGACUGGAGUGUACGUAACAAGUAACCAAGG
rnacentral:rRNA from 1 species